rnacentral:rRNA from 1 species
CUCAGGAUGAACGCUAGCGGCAGGCUUAACACAUGCAAGUCGAGGGGCAGCGCGUGUAGCAAUACAUGGCGGCGACCGGCGAAAGGGUGAGUAACGCGUGAGCAACAUGCCCGGUACUGGAGGAUAGUCGAUGGAAACGUCGCGUAAUACUCCGUAACAACAGUCUUCGCAUGGGGAUUGUUUAAGAGAUUUAUCGAUACCGGAUUGGCUCGCGUUCCAUUAGCUAGUUGGCGGGGUAACGGCCCACCAAGGCGACGAUGGAUAGGGGUUCUGAGAGGAAGGUCCCCCACAUUGGAACUGAGACACGGUCCAGACUCCUACGGAGGCAGCAGUGAGGAAUAUUGGUCAAUGGCCGAGAGGCUGAACCAGCCAUGCCGCGUGCGGGAGGACGGCCCUAUGGGUUGUAAACCGCUUUUUUGUGGGAGCAAUAAGUCCUACGUGUAGGAUGAUGAGAGUACCAUGAGAAUAAGCAUCGGCUAACUCCGUGCC